rnacentral:rRNA from 1 species
AAUCAACGCUGGCGGCGCGCUUAACACAUGCAAGUCGGACGAGAAAGGGGAGCAAUCCCUGAGUAAAGUGGCGUACGGGUGAGUAACACGUGGGUAAUCUACCUUUUGGUGGGGAAUAAC